CAGCAGCCACGGGAAUACGGAGGGUGCAAGCGUUAAUCGGAAUUACUGGGCGUAAAGCGCACGCAGGCGGUUUGUUAAGUCAGAUGUGAAAUCCCCGAGCUUAACUUGGGAACUGCAUUUGAAACUGGCAAGCUAGAGUCUUGUAGAGGGGGGUAGAAUUCCAGGUGUAGCGGUGAAAUGCGUAGAGAUCUGGAGGAAUACCGGUGGCGAAGGCGGCCCCCUGGACAAAGACUGACGCUCAGGUGCGAAAGCGUGGGGAGCAAACAGGAUUAGAUACACCAGUAGUCCCUGUCUCUUAUAC
rnacentral:rRNA from 1 species